rnacentral:rRNA from 1 species
UACGUAGGUGGCGAGCGUUGUCCGGAUUUACUGGGCGUAAAGGGCGCGUAGGUGGCCCGGUCAGUUCGUGGUGAAAGCGCGGGGCUCAACCCUGCGUCGGCCAUGAAUACUGCCGCGGCUGGAGCACUGUAGAGGCAGGCGGAAUUCCGGGUGUAGCGGUGGAAUGCGUAGAUAUCAGGAGGAACACCCGAGGCGAAGGCGGCUCUCUGGGUCGUACCUGACGCUGAGGCGCGAAAGCGUGGGGAGCGAACGGG